AGGUGAGAGCUUUGACCUGAAUGACCAGUGUAGAUUAUGUGUUGUGUUGUUGAAGUCCACUAUUUGUGUGAGAGCGACCAUUUAAGAGAGGAAAUGUUUGGGUUUUGGUCAAUUGUACUGAGAAGGAAACCUGGUGAAGAACCGUGGACAAGGAGAUGAAGGACAGUGGCCUGUUAUGGAAAACCAUUUUUAAAAAAGUCAAAAGAUGGGCAGCAGUGGCGCUUUCUCGUGAAAGCCUUAUGUUCUAUGUAGGAACAAAGAGGAUUAACUCAGACCCAUGCAUACCCCACAAGACAUGCCACCAGAGGUCUCUUCACAGUCCCGAAGUCCAGAACAGACUAUGGGAGGUGCACAGUACUACAUAGAGCCAUGAUGACUACAUGGAACUCUAUUCCAAAUCAAGCAACUCAUGCAAGAAGUAAAAUUAGAGUUACAU